UACGUAGGCAGCAAGCGUUGUUCGGAAUUAUUGGGCGUAAAGGGCGCGUAGGCGGUGCGGUAAGUCUGUAGUGAAAUCUCUGGGCUCAACUCAGAGUCUGCUGCAGAAACUGCCGUGCUUGAGUGUGGGAGAGGUGAGUGGAAUUCCCGGUGUAGCGGUGAAAUGCGUAGAUAUUGGGAGGAACACCAGUGGCGAAGGCGGCUCACUGGACCGGAACUGACGCUGAGGCGCGAAAGCGUGGGGAGCAAACGGG
rnacentral:rRNA from 1 species